GGGCUGGGGCUCAGUGGCAGAGCGCUUGCCUAGCAUGUGUGAGGCACUGGGUUCGAUUCUCAGCACCACA
rnacentral:tRNA from 1 species